UCCAAAGCUACGGAGUAAGGACGGUUCCUAUCUCUGCCAUUUGGAGGUAUAAAAAGAGCUCCAAGGAAACAUGGCCUUGAUGGGUCCAUGUGCCAUGGAGUCACACAUUUUUAUUUAAAGUCUU